GGCUUCCUCAGUUGGCUCUGUGUUGUUUCCUUUCUAUAAUAGAAUAGAAAGGAAACAACACAGAGCCAACUGAGGAAGCCUGUAUAA
rnacentral:miRNA from 1 species